rnacentral:tRNA from 1 species
GCCGCUGUAGCUCAGUUGGUAGAGCGGCGCUUUCGUAAAGCGUAGGUCACCAGUUCAAAUCUGGUUAGCGGCUCCA